AUGGACCGAGGUGAGCCCUCAUUGAAACCAGAAUGGCUGGUGCGCGGGGUUGCCACACCGACAGUAGCUGCCACAGGCUUCCGGCCAGGAAUUUCGCCCCGUGCAGAUGAUCAAGACAGGGGUGCUUCAUCAAGAAACCGAUCUUCAGGCCGUGAUCGUGAACGGAACUCCCAACAGUCCUCUUCACGCAGGGGUUCUGGCCAAAGUGUGUCCAGACGGCAUGACCGGGAUGGAACAGUGAAGUCAAGAGGGUAUGCUAGUUUUGGAAGGAGCAACAGGGACAGGGGUUGUGACAAGGAUUCUGAUUUCCGUGAUUGGGAGAGUAGAUUGGGUCUUGCAGGUGACCCACUGCGUGAUGGCUUUGGGCCCUUUAACUCAUGCAGACCCGAAAGCGAUAGGCUUAAUCGUAUUCGUCCAAAGUUGGACACAUUGAAUCGAGCAUCUGGAGUAAGUUUGGACAAUGGUAAUCUGUCUAGAAAGGAUGCUGGCGGCAUGUCCUUUGAGCGAGAAUUCCCACACCUUAGUUCUGAGGACAACAAUGGAAAACAUGAUGUAGUUAGAGUUCCAUCUCCUGGAAUUGGCUCCCCAAUUCAGAGCAUACCAUUGGUUACUGCGCCUGAUGGCUGGAACUCAGUGCUAGCAGAAGUCCCUGGACUUAGUGAGCCAAGCAAUACCCAGACCUCUUCUGCUUCAUCACGUGCUGGUUCCAGUCAGCAGCUUGUAGUGUCGAACUGUGGGACUGCCUUAAGCAUGGCUGAAACAGUAAUGCAGACUCCAUUAAAAAUUUCCACCACACCUCAGCUAUCAAUUGAUGCUCAGAAGAUUGAAGAAAGAACUAUGAGGCAGUGUAUUCUAAGACCUCUGACGCCUUCAUCAAACAAAAAUUCUGUAUGUACUUUGUCAGAUAGGUUAAAAACGAAAGGUGCAAGAGCUGGGGAUUCUAAUGGUUCUACCAAAACUGCACCCCAACUGUCAGCACAGUCUUCCAAUAACUCUGUUCGUACUCCAGUCAAAUCUGAGGUUGCCAAGCCAUCUCAACCAGGAUCCUUCCAAGUCCUGACCCGUGAGCAGAAUGGUGCUGCAAAUACCUCAAAAGACUCCACUAGCAAUCCUUUAAGCCCUAUUCUAGGUCGAUCUUCUUCAGUGGAACCACUGAAAAAGCCCCUUGUCAACCAAAAGCUUAAAGGUGUCAUAAAUGGCCUCCCUUUGCAAUUACAACAAGGUCCAUCUGGUGAGAGAAAAUCAAUAACAAAAGCCAAGCAUAAAUUCUUUGAGUUGCUGCGAAGCAAGUCUUUAAAUGGUUCAAGCAUGGGUAUUGAAUCCUCAUCUAGCUUGAUUAAUGAACAGAAGAACCCAUGUCUUGAUUUAUCCUUGUUUGACGCUGGAAUCAAGUGUAUUGAGACUGGAAGUAGUUCUUGUGAGGAUGCAAAUUCUUGUGAUGGGUCUCAGCGACACCUCUCUGACAAUGAGGAAACAAAGGCAUCUUUGGAACCUCUUGAUGUUUUUUAUCGUGAGUCCCAUGGGGUUGCAGCUGUCAAGGAUAGCAACUCUUUAUCAGAUCAUGCUGAUGCCGAAAAUGGAUCUAUGGCGCCUCAGGCAGACAAGGCUGAAGCUACUCUGGCCAUUAUGGCAGCAGAUAUAAAUGAUGGUUCUGCAAAGGCAGACUCCAGCUAUGGUGAUGCCGGUUUGUUGUUUGUGCCCAUUGUAACUGGGGAAGAGGAAUCAUAUCCUACUGAAGAUGAACCCAGUCCAGAAGAAAUGGCUUUCCUGAAAUCUCUUGGCUGGAAAGAAGACGAAGUAGUUCCGCCUCUGAAACAGGAAGAGAUAGCUGAUUGUUUAAGGCACAACGUGAGGCUGCAGCAGAAGCUUGAGGAGUGCAGGGGCUAA
rnacentral:rRNA from 1 species